CCCAUACCCGCACCCGCACUCCUCCUCCCUCAGCUCCUCGCCGCCGCCACCUCCUCCCAGAUCUCCCUCUCCCCGACCCAGACCUCCCUCUCUCUGCCAUCCCAACCCCUACCCCGCCGCCGGCCUCCCCCCAUCCCUGCCGACGACGACCUCCUCAUCUCCCCCAACCUCAGCCCCGCCGCCGCGUCCCUCCUCCUCUCCCACCGUGCACAGAUCAGUGAGGCACCACAUCUGGUGGCCGACGUCUCCGCCUCCGCCGGCCAGGUGCUCGUCAAGCGGCUCCAGGCGUCUCUGCCUCCACCGGCGCCGCCCGGCGCCCCCCGCCGUGGCGUCGUUCCGACCGGUGGUGGCGCCGGCGGAGCUCGAGGCCAAGGUAGGGUGGCAGGUGGUGGAGGCGGUGGGCCUGCCAUGCACCGUGAUGGCCUUCGGGGACAUCAUCACCCAUGCGCUCGAAUGGCCCUCGCUCACCAUGCAAUGGCUGCCCGACCGCACAGAUCCCGUCGGAGUCCACUCUGUGCAAAAGAUGGUGCUCGGGACCCACAGCUCCGACAACAAGCCUAACUAACUCAUGCUCGCCCAGGUCCAGCUCCCCCUCGACGACGCCGAGGCUGCCGUGCGCCCCUACGACAACAACCACGCCGACAUCGGGGGCUCCGGGGCUGCAUCCGGCAAGGAAAAUAUGGAACUGGAACAUCAUCAACUUUUGUGGGAAAUACUGAUCUUGACAAUGUGACAAUUCAUCCUGGGACUCUUCUCUGAUCUCCAAUAAAGAGAAAAUACUUUGCCCAAUUUAUUUGUGUGCAAAUCAUCGGGUGUGACCCACAAAGAAUCGCUCUGGUUCCUUAUUUUUUUAGGGUGGUUCCUCUUGUUUUUUAGGGUGCAGCCACAGAUGGUUAUUUGACCGAAACAAAAGUUAGUGAGUAUUGUUGCUUAUUUGAUAGAACAAAAAUGUCACAAACAAAUCCGAUUAAUGUUUAUGUGCUAUGUGCUAUGCUUUGCAAAUGCCGACCUCUUCCUGUGGAGGAACAAGAAGAUCUCUGUCGGGGUGCUCGCGGGCGCCACCGCCAUCUGGCUGCUAUUUGAGCUACCGAACUCUUCCUGUGCUCCCAGCCGGCGCCCGGAGCUGGCGAACGCGGCGAUACUGCCAAAAGAGGAGGUGUAGGAGCUGGGCAACGCCGACUGGCUCAUGGGACAACGGCGAGACUGUCUGGCGCCAACGCCGUCACCAUCAUUAGUCGCAUGUUUCGGCCGACCAGGAGGUAGUAGGCACCCUGGAGGCCCCGAAGCCACUUCGUGGAGAAUGGGUUCGUGCUGGACGGAGACGGGAGCGUCAUUGAUGUGGAGAAGAAGGAGCACGCCCAGGAGAAGAAGGAGCAAGCCCAGGAGAAAAAUAACGAGCAGGAGAAGAAGGCACUAGAUUGUUGCUACUGGAAUCUUAGUUUUACCUGUGAAUCUGUUGUGUCACCUUAAUCAUAUUCUGUAACUGUGCAGCAAAAUCUGGCUCAUGCCCGGUAGGAGUAGGAAGCUGCUGUAUUGGUGCUGUAGCAGAGGGAUGGGCCUCCUAGCAAAGCUUGCUGGGGGCAUUUUCAGGAUACGAUUGAUGCCUUGAAGAAGUCAGCUCCCCUUGGAUGGUGCAGUGCAGCAAAUCAAUGUCGAUUCAUUCAUUCUUAGAUGUUGGCUUUCAUUCUUCAAACGUUGGGUGUACAGGAGCUCUAGCAAGAAGAAUCCUGAAGAAAAACCACACCCACAAUGCGUUUUAGCUCAUUCGAGAUAGUUAUGUGUGAAGAUAGUUAUGUGUAUAUUUAGCUGUAUUUUAUAGCCGAAUACCAGAAUUGUACUAUGCUUGGCUGUUGUACGAAAUAUUAUACCUUGUUGGCUCUUUUUGAAUCAAAUUAUCAAAUUGCACAAAUA